CUGGCGGGAGUUGAACGCCGCCCCUUCAGUUUAGAGGGGCCGAGCGCAGGGGAGGAAGCCUCAGCAGAGAGUCAUCUGUUUGUCAAAUAUUUGCUGAACGCCCGACUGCCAGGUACGCGGGCAAGCCAAAAUUUCACCUGUUCUUUGUUGAGUGCCUAUAAGGACUAGAGUCUGCGGCGCUUGGCGUGGGCGGAGGCGUCUGCCCCGAGGACAGUCCUCGGAGGUCCCUUGCUUUCCUCAGACCCUUCUCCGGAACCAGGCCGCCCCGUCUCCUUCCCUUCUUCCCUCCUUUCAGCCUGGCCUUUGGGAGCGCCGGUCUGGAGACUCCAGCUGAGGCCAUGCCUGGUGCAGAGGUGCUUCAGAACUGGAGCAGAACAUCUGCAUUCCCAGUCCUGCCCCCAGAGAGGGGCUCAGAGGAUGACCCCCCAGUAGUGCCAGGACCCUUCCAAAAUUAAGGCCCGAAGACCCAGAGGAAACCAUUCAACGCUUAGAUCUGAUGAAGCAUGAAUAGUCAUGUAGAAAUGUGACUGGACAAAAGGAUAUGAUAGACCAGGUGGGCAAUCCAGUAAGGCCUGUUCAGAUUCUUCUCAGCCUCUGGGCCUUAUUCAUUUCUCCUGGAUGCGGGGCAAGAUUCCUCUGGAAUAAGGGUCUUCAAGGGAGAAGGAAAAGGGUGUUCCUGAGAAGCUUCAAAUCAAUGGCUUUUCAUUGCCAGUUAUGGAAUGAGAUUCAGUGCAACUGACUUGAAAACAUCUGUAAUAAACAUGCAGGUCCUAAUUCUACAGUGUCCUGUGACGCAAGGGUGCAAGUCCAAAUAAGGAGAAACAAGAUCCUUGACCUGGAGGAAUUGUUUACAGUGUCUUUGGGGAGAUAGAACAAGUUAUAUGGAAUAUUUUCCUAUAAAGAGCAACACAUGGCAUGACAUAAACUCCAAAGCAGUUAUUAAAGUCAAAGAAGAGUUUAUUUUCUGUAUACUUUAAGCACUGGUCAGUGUGGCAAAUGAACACUGUUAAGUUCCAGACUUAUACCAUGGGUGUGGAGACCUCACAGUGACUUCUGUUUUUAGAAUGAGUUGUUUUACUGUAGAAGCUUUGUCUUUCCUCAAUCACCAUCUAGUAUAUGAAUUUAAUGUCUAAGUUGCUGAGUGAAAAAUCACCUAAAAGUGUUAAUUUAUCACAUUUUCUUGGUCAGAGUAUUUCCAUAUCAGAUUAGAGCAAUAGUUUUCAAGUUUUCAGUCUGCAAUAUUCCCUAACGGUCCUGUUAAAUCUUGGAUUAUAGGGCCCUGACCCCAUAUUUUCUGAUUGUAGUGGCCUACGUGGUACCUAAUCAUGGACAUUUUUAACAGUUCCCUGGGAAUGCCUCAUGUAUUCCUGGUUGGGGACUGUAUGGUAGGCAUCAGUCUCUUGACUCCCACAUCAGCCCUUCAAGGGACUGUGCCACACUGGCUGCUUGUAGACAGGAUCAUGGACUGAGCAAAGGGCAGGACUGGGGCAAAGAUGUACUCCCAACACAGCCCUGCUCCUGUGGUGGUCCUGGUUGCUGGGGGAGCACCCCAUGCCAGCACACAGUUGGCUGGCCUGUGCUUCUGCCAUGCUUUGCUGGGGCCCUCACCCUCUACCAUUGCUGACCGCACACAAAGCCCCCUUUUACCCACUGCUCCAGGGAUGCUCAGGAGGUUUGGUUAACCCCAUUAAGAAAACAAAUAGCUCCUGGGCCAGGUGGGCAGGCGGGUGCUGCUAGGCACAGUGGCUGGAUUCUUCUCUGGGGGCAAGUGGGUGGACCAGAGGGAGGGACCCAGCACCAGAGUCUGCCUGACUAAGGGUGAGCCUUGUCUGCUCCACCCAAGUCCUACUCUAGUCACUUGGACAGCCCCUGAACCUGAGUCCUUAUCUGUACAACAGAGAUUUGUGUGAGGGUUGUGUGUAGGUUAAAUGACAUCGUGCUUCUGAAGUGCUUAUCAUGGGGCCUGAUACACGGUAAAUAAAUAUUAGCUGUUAUUUUUUAACUGAAUUAUAUGAAAUUGCUGUUUUUGUAAUCCAAAAAUGGUAGGCUAUUAACAGGUACAUAUAGUUCAGCCUAACAUAUUGUUACUGAUUUAUCAACAAAAACAAAUUCUAUUCCUUUCAGUAUGCCAAGCUCUAAAGGUUAGUUUGAAAAACAAACAACUCUUAGCUACUAACUCUGUGAUAAGGAUUUUCCUAAUUUUUCUCCAUAAAAAUCCAUUUUUCAACCAAAAAAGAAGCAAAUGAAUUGGAAGCAGAGGUUGGUGUAAAUCAGCAACUAUCCUAUUCAUCACAACCACCUCAGAGUUCCUACUGAUUGUCUUUUCAGUAAGUACAUUUUAUUAAUUUGAAAUAAUAAAAUUUAAAAACUAUUUUUGUUAUAAUAUUGAAUUAUGGAACAAGAUACCUUAAAAAGAGUUCUUUUGCUAAAAGAUUUUAAAAUUACUUAUGUAGCUUAAACUCUUCAUUUUUGUUUUU